AGGGCUUUGUGGAUUGCUUCCAUGAAA
rnacentral:sRNA from 1 species